GAUGAACGCUGGCGGCGUGCCUAAUACAUGCAAGUCGAGCGAACAGACGAGGAGCUUGCUCCUCUGACGUUAGCGGCGGACGGGUGAGUAACACGUGGAUAACCUACCUAUAAGACUGGGAUAACUUCGGGAAACCGGAGCUAAUACCGGAUAAUAUAUUGAACCGCAUGGUUCAAUAGUGAAAGAUGGUUUUGCUGUCACUUAUAGAUGGAUCCGCGCCGCAUUAGAUAGUUGGUAAGGUAACGGCUUACCAAGGCAACGAUGCGUAGCCGACCUGAGAGGGUGAUCGGCCACACUGGAACUGAGACACGGUCCAGACUCCUACGGGAGGCAGCAGUAGGGAAUCUGCCGCAGUGGGCGAAAGCCUGGCGGAGCAACGCCGCGUGAGUGAUGAAGGUCUUCGGAUCGUAAAACUCUGUUAUUAGGGAAGAACAAAUGUGUAAGUAACUAUGCCCGUCUUGACGGUAACUAAUCAGAAAGCCACGGCUAACUACGUG
rnacentral:rRNA from 1 species